rnacentral:lncRNA from 1 species
AAACCAUGGACUAUCUGCAAGAAGCAGCGCAGACACAAAUUCCAGUUCGGUCUCCAUUAGAAAGAUUAGGUAAGCGUGCAGACCUCAUGCCGAGACGAGCUGAUGUUGCUUGCAACGAGGAAGGCUCGGCGUCCUCUGACUAUGGAUGCACGCCGGCCAGAAUCACGUAGCCACGGCUCCGACCAGAAUCACCGUGUCUGUUCCGGAUUAGAGAGAGGGAGCAACAAAUUACAAUCAUGGUUUUGGUACGGAUUCACAGAAGACCCUAAUCAAACAUCACGAUAGCAUACUGUUUGGAAUUCAGAAAUCCAUUCAAGUCAUGCACUCCAAAGGAUGAUCCAUCAGUAAUAUCGGAUAAAUCACCCAAGAAUGAUUACCAACUCAAGCAUCAUGUUCUAGAAAAAAAUAUUCAGGCACGCCAUGGUUUCCAGUUCAGAAGAUGAAGCACAAUACCUCUAUUGAAUCUCAGGCUAGCGUACUCCUUAGCCUUGCCUGGAAGCCCGCCGGCCGGUCGCCGGAGCCGCCACCGCUAGCGACAGCC